UCAUUGGAGUUAGACUGAUUCUCACAAAUGCCGAAACCCAUCAUAGCAAUCUGUCGAAACCCAUCAUAGUUGUUAGACUAACACAGAAGGUUGUAGCAAUGUUUAUACUGUAUUCCGGGCGUUCGAGUUUUUCGUAUUUUCUGUGACAGAUUGACUAAAUUGUAUAAAUACUUCGUUUUCGUUCCAUGUCCUACAACAGUUCACAUUUUAUAGGAAGAGAAAAUGACGGGCUUCGCAAUAGGAGCUACUGCUGUUGCUAUUGCAACUGUGACAUUUAUUGUCAAUAAUGUCAUUUUUCACUAAAUGGCGGACGUUGACGAUGAUGAUUAAACCACAACUAACGUUCCAGGCAUGAUGAAUCUACUCUGGUGGCGCCAUUUGUUGUUCUCAAAUGGUCGUGCUUUGCAACUGCAAACUGGAGUCGAUCACAAUUUUCACGAUACUUUGGAUCCGUUCUAAUGCUGAUCUGUUGACAUCUGUGUAAUCAUGCUUUAACGUUUAGAAAAAUAAAUGUUAUCUACCUGACAACA